rnacentral:rRNA from 1 species
AGAACGAACGCUGGCGGCAUGCCUAAUACAUGCAAGUCGAACGAACUCUUCGGAGUUAGUGGCGCACGGGUGCGUAACGCGUGGGAAUCUGCCCCUUGGUUCGGAAUAACAGUUGGAAACGACUGCUAAUACCGGAUGAUGACGAAAGUCCAAAGAUUUAUCGCCAAGGGAUGAGCCCGCGUAGGAUUAGCUAGUUGGUGAGGUAAAGGCUCACCAAGGCAACGAUCCUUAGCUGGUCUGAGAGGAUGAUCAGCCACACUGGGACUGAGACACGGCCCAGACCUCCGUACGGGAGCAGCAGGUAGGGAAUAUUGGGACAAGUGGGACGAAAGCCUGAUCCAGCAAUGCCGCGUGAGUGA